rnacentral:rRNA from 1 species
GACGAACGCUGGCGGCGUGCCUAAUACAUGCAAGUAGAACGCUGAAGGAGGAGCUUGCUUCUCUGGAUGAGUUGCGAACGGGUGAGUAACGCGUAGGUAACCUGCCUGGUAGCGGGGGAUAACUAUUGGAAACGAUAGCUAAUACCGCAUAAUAGUAGAUGUUGCAUGACAUCUGCUUAAAAGGUGCAAUUGCAUCACUACCAGAUGGACCUGCGUUGUAUUAUCUAGUUGGUGGGGUAACGGCUCACCAAGGCGACGAUACAUAGCCGACCUGAGAGGGUGAUCGGCCAAACUGGGACUGAGACACGGCCCAGACUCCUACGGGAGGCAGCAGUAGGGAAUCUUCGGCAAUGGACGGAAGUCUGAACGAGCAAAGCCGGGUGAGUGAAGAAGGUUUUCGGAUCGUAAAGCUCUGUUGUAAGAGAAGAACGAGUGUGAGAGUGGAAAGUUCACACUGUGACGGUAUCUUACCAGAAAGGGACGGCUAACUACGUG